GAUGAACGCUGGCGGUAUGCUUAACACAUGCAAGUCGAACGGAGUGCUUCGGCACUUAGUGGCGGACGGGUGAGUAACGCGUGAGAAUCUGGCUUCGGGUUCGGGACAACAGUGGGAAACUGCUGCUAAUACCGGAUGUGCCUAAGGGUAAAAGAUUAAUUGCCCGAAGAUGAGCUCGCGUCCGAUUAGCUAGUUGGUGUGGCAAGAGCGCACCAAGGCGUCGAUCGGUAGCUGGUCUGAGAGGACGAUCAGCCACACUGGGACUGAGACACGGCCCAGACUCCUACGGGAGGCAGCAGUGGGGAAUUUUCCGCAAUGGGCGAAAGCCUGGCGGAGCAAUACCGCGUGAGGGAGGAAGGCUCUUGGGUUGUAAACCUCUUUUCUCAGGGAAGAAAAAAAUGACGGUACCUGAGGAAUCAGCAUCGGCUAACUCCGUGCCAGCAGCCGCGGUAACAC
rnacentral:rRNA from 1 species